rnacentral:rRNA from 1 species
AAUGGGCGUCAAGCCUGAUGCAGUCCAUGCCGCGUGUAUGAAGUAAGGCCUUCGGGUUGUAAAGUACUUUCAGCAGUGAGGAAGGUGGAUGCGUUAAUAGCGUAUUCAUUUGACGUUAGCUGCAGAAGAAGCACCGGCUAACUCCGUGCCAGCAGCCGCGGUAAUACGGAGGGUGCGAGCGUUAAUCGGAAUUACUGGGCGUAAAGCGCAUGCAGGUGGUUUGUUAAGUCAGAUGUGAAAGCCCGGGGCUUAACCUCGGAAUUGCAUUUGAAACUGGCAGGCUAGAGUCUUGUAGAGGGGGUAGAAUUUCAGGUGUAGCGGUGAAAUGCGUAGAGAUCUGAAGGAAUACCAGUGGCGAAGGCGGCCCCCUGGACAAAGACUGACGCUCAGAUGCGAAAGCGUGGGGAGCAAACAGGAUUAGAUACCCUGGUAG